GUGCUCACUUCAGCAGCACAGAGACUAAAAUUGGAAUAAUACAGUUAGCAUGGCCUCUGUUCAAGGAUGGUAUACAAAUUUGUGAAGUGUUCUAUAUUUUU
ensembl:snRNA U6 U6 spliceosomal RNA